CGGGGGAUGCCGGAUCCUGGGCUGUGUCCCGACGCCCUGUGCUCCGAGGCCUGCGCUGUUGGAUUCGCGCUCCCGCCCCGCAGCCCCCU
rnacentral:pre_miRNA from 1 species